rnacentral:rRNA from 1 species
GAUGAACGCUGGCGGCGUGCCUAAUACAUGCAAGUCGAGCGAAGCGGGGACGGGUGAGUAACACGUGGAAAACCUGCUAUAAGACUGGGAAAAAUUCGGGAAACCGGUGAAAAACCUGAUACUUAUAGAUGGAUCCGCUCUGCAUUAGCUAGUUGGUAAGGUAACGGAUUACGAAGGCAACGAUUCAUAGCCGACCUGAGAGGGUACUCGGCCACACUGGAACUGAGACACGUUCCAGACUCCUACGGUAGUCAGCAGUAGGGAAUCUGCCGCAAUGGGCGAAAGCCGGACGGAGACACGCCGCGUGAGUGAUGAAGGUCUUCGGAUCGUAAAACUCUGUUAUUAGUGAAGCGGUACCUAAUCAGAAAGCCACGGCUAACUACGUGCCAGCCGCCGCGGUAAUUC